UUUUAUUAGUUUUUGAGUUUGGGUGUUUGAAGUUAGAAGGUGUUUCUAAUUUUAAAAAAUAAUAAUAAUUUGCAUACUGUUAAUAUAUAUGUUGCAGUUCUUGAAUGACUUAGUGAUAAACUGGUUGGAUUUCGAUCCUGAAAUAGAGUAAACCAAAUAAAUAGGUAGCGGUGCUACAAAGUUUCUUAUUGAUGAACUUCAUUUCUUGACUUCUGUUUAUCUUUUUUCUUGUAGGAAAAUCAAUGUUUGUUCAUGAGUUUAUGGAACGCAGCUAUGGUGCAAAUCCGUCGACGCACGACGGGGAUCGAAGCUUUCAAGAUCCAAAGCUCUAGUCCAGUUUCAUGGCAUUUAAGGGGGUCUUGGAAGACUAAGCCGAGAAGUAGGAAGAAGGGAGAAAGAGGAUUCCACUGGUGGUGUUGGUUGCUGGCCAAGACGUCGGACGGUGACAAUAAGAGCAAUGACAGCAAGGAGGCAAAAAGGAAAAGUUACUAAGUUUAGGUUAUUAAAAUUAAAUAAAUAAUUUAUGUUAUUAAAAUUUGGUAAUUCAUAGAUUAAGGUAUUUAGUGAGUAUUUCUAAUCUAAAUGCAGCCAAAAUUCUAAAAAGCUAGCUACAAUUUAAGAGGCACUUUGUGUAUUUUAGUGGA
rnacentral:lncRNA from 1 species